UGAGGAAUUUUCUGCAAUGGGCGAAAGCCUGACAGAGCAAUACCGCGUGAGGGAUGAAGACUUACUGAGUUGUAAACCUCGGUACCUUAAGGAAGAAGAUAUGACGGUACUUAAGGUGGAAAGCAUCGGCUAACUCCGUGCCAGCAGCCGCGGUAAGACGGGGGAUGCAAGUGUUAUCCGGAUUUACUGGGCGUAAAGCGUCUGCAGGUGGUUUCUUAAGUCUACUGUUAAAUCUUGAGGCUCAACCUCAAAUCUGCAGUAGAAACUAGGAGACUUGAGUAUAGUAGGGGUAGAGGGAAUUUCCAGUGGAGCGGUGAAAUGCGUAGAUAUUGGAAAGAACACCGAUGGCGAAGGCACUCUACUGGGCUAUUACUGACACUCAGAGACGAAAGCUAGGGGAGCAAAUGGG
rnacentral:rRNA from 1 species